rnacentral:tmRNA from 1 species
GGGGGCGACAUGGCUUCGACGCGGGUCGCGAAACCCGAGGUGCAUGCCGAGGUGACAGUCUACCUCGUAAAACAGGCUGUAAGCUUAAAAUAGUUGCCAACGACGACAACUACGCUCUAGCGGCGUAACACCCGCUAGCUGCUCACGGUCGGUGCCUGUGCCGGUCGCCGAGCAGUCAUAGACACAGGCUAGUGCCAGGGGAUAGGUCCGGUCCUCUGGUGCGAACCCCAAACGGGCUCGCUAUCGGGACGCCCUGCCGGUCGGGCACCCGGUAGUUAAACAGAAUAGAUCCGGCUAAGCAUGUAGAUCCGAGGGCGUAGCUCCUGCGGACGCGGGUUCGAUUCCCGCCGCCUCCACCA